UUCAAGUUGGACCAGGAUUUGACCUAUGAGGAGGAGUCGGUAGCUAUUCUAGACCGGUAGGUUCAUCAUUUGAGAUCAAAGAGUUUCCCUUCGGUUCGUGUGCACUAGAAAGGUCAACCUGUUGAACCAGCUACCUAGGAGUCCGAGACCAAUAUAUGGAGCAAAUAUCCCCAUAUUUUCACCGACUCAAGUACUUUUCUAUGUUCGUUCAAG
rnacentral:lncRNA from 1 species